UACGUAGGGUGCAGGCGUUAAUCGGAAUUACUGGGCGUAAAGCGUGCGCAGGCGGUUUGCUAAGACAGGUGUGAAAUCCCCGGGCUUAACCUGGGAACUGCGCUUGUAACUGGCAAGCUGGAGUGUGGCAGAGGGGGGUGGAAUUCCACGUGUAGCAGUGAAAUGCGUAGAGAUGUUGAGGAACACCGAUGGCGAAGGCAGCCCCCUGGGCUAACACUGACGCUCAUGCACGAAAGCGUGGGGAGCAAACAGG
rnacentral:rRNA from 1 species